CCCAGCUGAGCCUCUCAGAGGAGGGAUGUGGGUUUGAAAGACACAAUAAAGACUUUUCAAAGCACUGGAGGUGGUUUGUGUGGUACCUGAAGGUGUCACCAGGCAAGCAGGCUCUGCCUGGCAGGAAUGAAAAUGCCUGAAAUGCUGCCUGGGCCCUUCCAGGGAGCUUGCAAGGCACAGACUUGGAACUAUUUCAGCCCAGGGAUUAAAGAAACAUGCUUUGAAAAAGAGGAAUGAUAAAGAAAAAAAGAGAAAUUAAAUAGAAGGUUGGAUUUUUAUUUUUUUUUUUGGUUGGAGCCUGUUUAAAUUACUGUCAGCAGUGUAAAAUGAUGUAAAAUGGAUCAGAGCUGCCAUCUCAAUUUUUAAUGAGAUCCCAUCUGAAACAGGAAGAUCUCAGGCACGUGGUCCAGAUUCAGCCUGACUCUGGGUCCUGUGACAAGGAAGAUGGGAGGAAGAUGUUUCAUUUCAAUAAGCUAAAGGAUGUCAGCAGCUCAGAGCACACUUUGCCAUCAACAUUCUUCACUCCAAUGCCUGAAAUCUCUGGGUUCUGCCUGUGCCACACAUUUGCUACUCCAUGA
rnacentral:lncRNA from 1 species